rnacentral:tRNA from 1 species
UGGGAGGUGUUGCCGUAGGGAAUUCAGGCUCAUAACCUGAAGGUCAGAGGUUCAAAUCCUCUCCCCGCAACCA